GUUUUAGGAAUAGAGGAUGAUCUGCACAUGAGUUCCCAGAGACGGUUAUUCGACUUUUGAGGUAAAUAGUGGAUGUUUGGGAUUGGUGAAAAGGGGAGGGUGAAGGAUUUUCAGUUGUUUCUGGGCCUUUAUUUCUGGUUUGGCAAAGAUUUGUAAGAUAAGGGCAGUUGCUUUUCAUCCUUCAAGGAACUGGGUUGCAAUUUAAGUGACAUUCUACGUUGAUCCACCCAUCUGACUACAUUAUCCUCAGUUUGCUUCUUUCCCUCUGGGUACAUAGUUCUAAUUUUAACUUAGGGGAGAGGCCUUAAAAAAAUUCUUAUCAGGUGCUGAAUAUCAGCUUUCAAUCUGGCCAACUUUGGACUACAGAGCCACUGUAAAAUACAUUCUUGCCAGUUUUGAGUUUUAUGCUUUGGAUGUAAGACGAGUCCCCAAAGAGGGUGCAAAGAUACUACCUUUCCAAGAUCUAGAGUCACUCCCAAAGAUAGCCGAAAGAAAGAAAUGACAACCUGCAUGCCACAGCAAGGCAGACAAAACGAGUCAAGCGGGAAGAUAAUGGCCAUUUGUCCUGAGCGACAGGGUCUCAAUGGCCUUCAGCUCAAAAUGCCAAAGUGGCACACUCCGGGGAGACUUGCUCUGAACCCUUUCAGUCUCCUUCAGUCUUAAAGAAGUUUGACUACCCAGAAGCUAAGUUACAUUUUCUAUGUGCUGUUCCACUAUUUCCAAAAAUAUUUGCCUCUUUUGAGGGAAAGAGAUGUGUGCCGAUACCUCCCCCAAAAAUUGAGGUCUAACAGGUGAAUGGGGUCUGCAGGGACCAGAAGGAAUUGAUGAGUGCUGUAAGGGCCCCAGCUGAAAAGAAACGGGUAAAAAUUUUAAAACUGUCUUGGGAUAUUAGACACUCCCACAGCUUGUAGUGUUCGGUACUCUGGGGAAGGCGGGGAGGCAGGUGGGUGGGGUUUAAAACUGACAGUGUUGUUCCCACGUCUAGAGGGGGAAAGGGAGUGGGAGAUACAGGCUUCCAGUUACGGAAUGAAUAAGUCAUGGGAAUAAAAGGCACAGCACAGGGAAUACAGUCCGCGGUGUUAUAAGAGUGUUGUCUUCUGACACAGGGUAGCUGCACUUGUGAUGAGCAUAGCAUAACGUAUAAACCUGUUGAAUCACUGGUUUACUCAUGUAAACUCAUGUAACAUUGUGUGUCAGCUGUACUAAAAAAAAAAAAAAAAACAGAGAGAGAGAGAGCGCUCCUUGCACCUCAUUCCCAGUAACAUCUACUUCCCCUGAAGUAUUGGGUAGAAUUAACGGGAAGAUCCCCUUUUGUCCUGGGAGCUGCGCUAUUCGGUCAUAUGAGCAUUAGUUCCCCUGCUGUUUGUGCCCUUCUGCUCGUAGGCUGUUGGAGCCAAUGCUGUCUCACAGGUAACAAAGUUGGAGUUAAAUUAAAAAAAAAAAUUUUUUUAAAAAUGGGUUUUCACGAUUUUGUCAAGACCAAAGUAUUGUUUACAAGUUUUUCUCUAAUCUAUCAUAAUAAUCAAAAACCAGAUCGUUUGGCCACUGAUUACAUCGUUGCUUUGUUUCUCCAAUCUAUAGUCUUUUGGAAACCCUGAAGGACAGUUUUAUGUAAAUCUUCAGCUAGCUUAAAAGCUUCUGUUUUACCUACAGCUUUUCACUUAGCAAAAUCAACAGGCUCUGUCCGGCCUACUUUUCCCAUUCAUUCCCUUACGUGACCUUCAUUUACAAGCAUGCGUAGAAGUUGAUAAAGGUCAGAAUUACCAGGUUUAUGGGUCUGAAUAACUAAAGCGAAUCCCCUAGCAAAUCCUAGAGGGUCUUCAAGGGCAUGGGGAAAGUCCUUGGCAGUAAGUAGUUCAUGGUCGUGCCUUGGUCCACGGAGUAUAAAUGACUGAUAAAGUCUUAGAGCGUCCUUCAUUGGGUUUAAGUUUAGAAGGAGUUCGGAUCGCUGGAGGGUCUAGAGGAACCUCCGGGAUGAUAUUAGAGAAUGGAAGUUCUGUGCAACUUGGAUCGCCAGGGGGAGAGCAGGAGGGAGAAGGUGAAAGACAAGCAAUGGGUGUAGCGUUUCUCAGAAGCUCCUUGAGCUUAGAUCCUCGCUGAGAGAGGUCAGAGUCAGCUUUAGAAAGUUUAGGUAAUUUCGUUCCUGAGGAAGCAGGUUUAGAAUCAUUUGAUUGGUCAGAGGCCUCCAAAUACGAAGGGAACUGUGCUUCUACUCAAGCUGCUUGGUUUUUUCUUUUUCCAGUUGUGCCCGCAAAUAAACGAAUUUUGGAAUCUCCAAAGAUCCCCGAGUGGCCACGGUAAUGACAAGUCACAGUGAUCCCACAAGACAGAAACUUACAAAAAAUGGACCUAUAACAGACACCCAGCUGGGGUUCCAGUCAGGGGCUGCUCUCCAGCAGCAAUUUUCCAAACCAGAGGCCCCGCUGAGUAUGCACCGGACAGACGAGAGUAACUCCGUAGUUCAGACAGACAGACAGACAGACAAAAGCCCACAUAGGAAAGACAGACACCCAAAACCUGGGCCUAGGCGUCAACUGAAAAGAGGGAGGUUGGGGCAUGCGUGGCUCGCUCAGUCCAGUUAGAGCCCCAUGUUGGGUGGAGAGAUUACUUAAAAAAAAAAAUCAUGAUAAUCGUGAGGUUCAGAACUGAGAGGACUCACCGGCAGAACCCCGAACCGCCUGCUUAGGCAGGUACCAUGUUCAAAUCCAACGGCAGUCCCAGAAUCGGAAUGGUACAUCGCUUCAGAUCCUCUGCUGUUCUGAUACCAUUUAUGUUGACUGAGAAAAGGAGGCAAAACUGAAAAAGAAGAAAGGCCUUCGUUUGUGAUCUCAGAAUUGCAAUUCGGGCACACAGAUUCCAGAGGCCUGAGAAGAGUGUCUUGCUCACGUGGGGAAAGCAAGAGGCUUUUAUAGGAAAGAAGCAAGUGGUCAUUACAUGAUUUAGAAAAAGAAGAGAAAAAAACCCCUGCUAUUCGGGUGCUGACCCGUGGGGUCGCUUCUGAUUACUAUUGUUUUGAUUAUUAGUGCGAUGAAACAAAACUACAAAAAAGUAGUUAACUUUACUGCCCUCAUGUAAUCCGAAUGCCACUUACUCUGUUGAAAUUUUAUGAGCAAUUGCUUGUAAAAGAAUUGCCACCUCUUGUCACGUUGGACAGUUCCUUAGCUGGAAAGCAAAAUGGAGCUUCAAAACGGAGUCCCUUCCGUCCAGAAACUUUAUACAAUUCUACACUUUUUAAAAGAUGCUGAUUGAAAAUCACCAGAGUAAUUAUGCAAACCGCUAGGCUAUCAAUUUCAAAGGCACUCUAUUGUCACCCUCUCAUUUCUUUCCAUCCUUUUCCCUAAUCUCUCGGUGUUCUGGAGGAACAUGAUUUCUAUUUUUUUCCCCCUCUGGCCCUUACUCUACAACACACUCUCUUAUCCAUCUCUGUGUGUAUAGUUUAACCACGUUUGCUCUGGAAGGCAAUUGUCCUGUACUCUGUGUAGACAUCACUCUGGUGUUCUAUGUGAUGCCUGCGUAUAGAAAUGCUGGACUUCAUAACUACUGAUAAACUGGCCUGCUUAGGAGAGGAGGGCAGAUGAAUCAGUAUUUCUGAAUUUCCUGGAAGAAGACACAGAGAGGCAUUCAGGCAGAUGUAAAGGAAGUAGGCUAACUGGCCUCUGAAUACCAUGAAAGGCAUUAAUUAAAUGAUAUAGAUAAGGAUUUCCUUGAUUCUGGAAGGCAGUAAAAAGGAAGCCACCAAACCUACCAUAUCAAUCCAUUAAAAAACAAACAAACAAACAAAAAUGACCGGGGCACCUGGGUGGCUCAGUUGGUUAAGUGGCCAACUUCGGCUCAGGUCACGCGGUCCCAUGGUGCGUGAGUUCCGAGCCGCACAUCGGGCUCUCUGCUGUCAGUACGGAACCCAUUUCGGGUCAUCUGUCCCCUUUUCUCUCUGCCCCUCUCCCGCUCACACGUUCUCUUUCUCCCUCUCAAAAGGAAAUAAACAUUAAAAAAAAAAGUGGCUGACAUCGUUCUAACUUCCACAGAGUUUUGACCCUCAGAUUCUCACAGGACAGGGUCACACACUUCUAAGCUCCCUCUUGGAGUUCAGGGAAGGUCAAAGGGAAGAGUCUUAAACAGAAGACUCUAGCUCAGUGUAUCUAAUCUCCACACCCUAAAUAUUUACUCUGAGCCUCCUAGUCCUGUUUUGUCGUAUCCAACUGGAAUGACCCCCGUUUCUCUGCUCUUUCUCAUCCCUUCAAGCCCUGGCUGCAGUCUGAAGACUCAAAUUUAUUCAAAGGUACAAACUAACCAAGAGAUAUUCUGCUUUCAUUUUCCAUACUAUCCCUGAGGCAGAGUUGGAAAUAACAACGGGGCACGUGCGGCCCGGAGAGCGUGAAGUGACGCGUCUGAGACUCGCCCGCCUUCUGUGGCAGAACGGGAACUAGAAUUUCCGUCUCCUGACAUCAAGCCCACUGCCCUUUUGUAGCCGUCUGAGGGAAGGGCAGCCAGGAAAAUAAAUAUAAACGAAGAAGGUAGGAUAUGCUGGUCCACCUCGAGCUCCCCUCGACCCAUUCCAGACCUGAAGGUAAAGCAGUGGGAGAAACACUGGAUUGGACAGCUAAGGAGCUCUUGGCCUUGAUCUUGGCCUUGCCAUUCAACACUUGAUCUUCCUGACCUGGAAUAAGUAAUUUUCUCCCCUGGCUUCCUCUUGCUCAGCGGUCAAACAGGGAAAAUGUCAUUGACCUGGAUGGCAUGAUGUGUGAAACCACUCUACAAGCGAAUGAUUUAAGUAGCUUGAGUUAUCUCAAGUUCAUCGUGAUGAUUUCGGGCUGGUAGGGCAAGAAAUCAACGUCAACUCCCAUUUGGAGAGAGUCUUGGGGUUUCAAUUAUUCCCCCUCUGGUGUUUCCUGUUAAUUUACACAGAAUUUAUGUAAGUAGAAAGACUGCAUUGCCAUAGAGAUUCUUUUGUGGGGGGGGGGGGGGAGGAUCCAGUCAUGUUUCUUGGCCUUCUCAUAUUUGCCUUAUUUUUUCUGGUCUACUUGGAAAGCUAGCUCCUUAAUCUCUUCUCGCUAUUCGAACGAUGACUGGGAUACGGACCGACAUGGACAUGGAAAGGAUAACAUGAAAAGUUACCGAAGGAAAGGAUUACAGUAAAUAGGUCAGGCAUUCCUUUAUUUUAUGGGACUGGGAUGAUUUAGGCAGAUAUAAGAAGUGAUUUGCCCAAGAUAGCAGAGGGAGUUAAAGACAGAUUAAGAACUUAAAUACAGUUGAUUUAAAAAAGCCACAUUAGGACGCUUCCUCACCCCCCAUGCAAACUGGAGAAUCCACUCACGUGCAUGUGAAUAAUCCAGGUGUAGCGACCUAAAAAUUAUGCAUCACUCUCUGCAGUGUUGCAAGUGUAAUAGAAUUAGGAUAUGGCGACGAUUCUCCAACUCUACCUAUAUCAGAACCACCUACAGGACUUGUUAAAACCCAGGAUGCUGGGCCCCAAUCCCAGAGUUUCUGGUUUAGUAGGUGAGGUCUGAUAAUUUGCAUUUCUAACACCCUCCCAGGUGAUGCUGGCCAAUGGACCAUGAAUAUGCUGGAAUGUCUAUUUUUCUAGAACUUGGCAAAACUGUGGUAAGAGAAUCUUUUGACCUGUGACUUUUUUCUCCCAACUAUUAGUUCUUUGUUAAUGAAUAAUCCACUUAGCAUACCGGUAGGGGCGCCUGGGUGGCUCAGUCGGUUGAGCAUCCGACUCUUGAUGUUGGCUCCAGUCAUGAUUUCAAACCCCAUAUCAGGCUCUCGCUGGCAACGUGGAACCUGCUUGGGAUUCUCUCUCUUCCUCUCUCUGUGACCCUCCUCCUCUCUCUCUCUCCCUCUCUCUCUCUCUCUUAAAUAAAUAAAUAAACAUUAAAAAAGAAUGCUGGUGGAGAAAGGCUUUAGGUAGACAUUCUCAGUUAUCAGUCUGUCGCCUAGGGCACUUGUUCCAGAUGGAGGUUCCUGCUACUUUCUCCCUCCCCACCCCCUCGGAAUGCAACAAGCGAGGCUCCUUGAUGCCUCGGUUUCGUCCUGAUCAUUAUUUUAGCACUAGGGGCUGGGUGUUGUAUAAGCAACUGCUGAGCGAGUGAAGGAAUGAAUUAAUCAAUCAACGGAAUCAUACCUUCUGGUAAUAAUGUCAACCGGGCAUUUCUUUUAUUGUUUUAAAGUUUCACUGCAGGCUUUGCCGCCAGAUACAAAAAGGCAUACAGCUGUCACAAGGAGGGCACUGCACACAAAGUCUCAGCUGUAAACACCACUUCAAAAUAGAAACUCGCUCUUUGGAAUACAUUGUGUCAAAGGCUUCCCAUAUGAAUACCGUUGUUAUAAAACGGCGACAUUUCCUUUGAUAAGCAGACAAAACGCACCCGUUAUCUUACACACAUUUCCAUCUCCUUGUAGCAAUUCCCGUCUCUACCUGCGCUACUCUCAUCCACCCAUGCAGGCACAGGCCACUUCUAUUCCUUCACAAGGGCGGAGGAGACUGGGCUUGGGCCGUGUGACUUGCAUGGCCAUCAGCAAACAUGGUGCGGAGACUUGAUGGGUGAUGUACAAAAGUGAGCCCUUCCUCCUUGGAACCCAGCUGCCAUGCUUUAAGAAAGCCAGUCUAACCGGCUAGCAGAUGAGCAACUCCGCACUCUCGCUGACCAACGCCAACUUCCGGAAGUGUGAAUGAAACCGUCUUGGAUGUUUCUAUUUCGGCCCCAGUAGAGCUCCCAUCUGUUUGCAGCGGCUGAACGAGCGACCCAGGUGAAUGAAUGACCUUGGUCAAUAUCGCCCGGAGGAGGGAAACCACCCAGCCGAGCGCAGAUAGUACACAGAAUCGUGG
rnacentral:lncRNA from 1 species